CGGGGUCGGAACUUCGGUUCCGGCUUACGUGGCGCACGGGUGAGUAACACGUGGGAAUCUGCCCAUCUAUGGGGAAUAACUGCGGGAAACUGCAGCUAAUACCGCAUACGCCCUUCGGGGGAAAGGCUUCGGCCGUAGAUGGAUGAGCCCGCGUCCGAUUAGCUAGUUGGUGGGGUAAUGGCCUACCAAGGCGACGAUCGGUAGCUGGUCUGAGAGGAUGAUCAGCCACACUGGGACUGAGACACGGCCCAGACUCCUACGGGAGGCAGCAGUGGGGAAUAUUGGACAAUGGGCGAAAGCCUGAUCCAGCAAUGCCGCGUGAGUGAUGAAGGUCUUCGGAUUGUAAAGCUCUUUCGACGGGGAAGAUAAUGACGGUACCCGUAGAAGAAGCCCCGGCUAACUUCGUGCCAGCAGCCGCGGUAAUACGAAGGGGGCUAGCGUUGUUCGGAUUUACUGGGCGUAAAGCGUGCGUAGGCGGCUUAUCAAGUCAGAAGUGAAAGCCCGGGGCUCAACUCCGGAAUGGCUUUUGAGACUGGUAGGCUGGAGUUCGGGAGAGGGUAGUGGAAUUCCCAGUGUAGAGGUGAAAUUCGUAGAUAUUGGGAAGAACACCGGUG
rnacentral:rRNA from 1 species